rnacentral:piRNA from 1 species
UGAAAGGAAAUGAUCAGUGCUAACUAAUAA